GUGGAAGCCGGAACUUUGAGGAGGCACGGAAGUUCGGAGGCCCUCCCAGAAGUUUGUAAACACUGCAAAGUCAGGGUAGGGGUCUUUUGCACUUGGUAGACAGGUACACUGCCAGGGGACUUGGCUCAGCACCAUGAAGAGAGCCUAUGAAUGAAGCCUAGUUGCAGCCAAAGACCCCAGUGUAUUGGAGAUGCCAUUACUGUAGGAUGAUCACCAAGAAUGGCAGUGGCAGUGGAGUGGGGUCAACUAGAGCCUAGAGUGCUACAGAGGGCAGAGCUGGAGAUGUGACCCAAGCCCUUUGGAGGAUCCCAGAAGAUCAUGUGUGGAUCCCAGACACUGGAACAAGAAGCUGUAACANNNNNNNNNNNUUGGAGACCCCAAGAUGUUUAAGAUGCCAGAGCUGUGGGCUUUCUGCUGAGGAAAGCUGCUAACAGGGAGUGGAACCAACCCAGGAGAAAGCAGUUUGUUGCAGUCAACAAAGAUGAAAAAGGAAUUGGGGAUCUGAAGACUGCUUUGACAUCAGCCAUGGAGAUGCAGAGUUUGGAGUUUGCCCAGCUGGUUUCCUGUCUUGCUUUGGGGAUUAUACUUAAGUGAUUAGAUGAAUCUCAGAAGAGACUUUGAACUUUUAACAUUGUUGGGACUGCUAUAGACUAUGGGGGCUUUUGAAGUUGGACUGUGUUUUGCAUUAUGCUGUGUUUAGGUAUGGCCCCCAUAGACUCAUAUGUUUGAACAAGCCUAUGAGGGCCAGAGAGUGGAAUAUGGUAGUUGGAAUAUGGUAGUUUGAAUAUGCUUGGCCCAGGGAAUAGCACUAUUAGGAGGCAUGGCCUUGUUGGAGUAGGUGUGGCCUUGGAGUAGGUGUGUCACUGUGGGCUUUAAGACCCUUAUCCUAGCUGCCAGGAAGCCAGUCUUCUAGAAGCCUUCAGAUGAAGAUCUAAAACUCUCAACUCUAUCUGCACUAUGCCUGCCUGGGCGCUGCCAUGCUCCCACUCUGAUGAUAACGGACUGAACCUCUGAACCUGUAAGCCAGCCCAAUUAAACACUGUCCUUGUAAG
rnacentral:lncRNA from 1 species